GGAAGGGGGGCGUGCUUACACUGCAAGUCGAGCGAACAUGUAUGCGGAAGUUUUCGGAUGGAAGCAGAUAUGACUGAGCGGCGGACGGGUGAGUAACGCGUGGGUAACCUGCCUCAUACAGGGGGAUAACAGUUAGAAAUGACUGCUAAUACCGCAUAAGCGCACAGGACCGCAUGGUCAAGUGUGAAAAACUCCGGUGGUAUGAGAUGGACCCGCGUCUGAUUAGCUGGUUGGUGAGGUAACGGCCCACCAAGGCGACGAUCAGUAGCCGACCUGAGAGGGUGGCCGGCCACAUUGGGACUGAGACACGGCCCAAACUCCUACGGGAGGCAGCAGUGGGGAAUAUUGCACAAUGGGGGAAACCCUGAUGCAGCAACGCCGCGUGAGUGAAGAAGUAUUUCGGUAUGUAAAGCUCUAUCAGCAGGGAAGAAGAAAGACGGUACCUGACUAAGAAGCCCCGGCUAACUACGUGCCAGCAGCCGCGGUAAUACGUAGGGGGCAAGCGUUAUCCGGAUUUACUGGGUGUAAAGGGAGCGUAGACGGCAUAGCAAGUCUGAAGUGAAAGCCCGUGGCUCAACCGCGGAACUGCUUUGGAAACUGUUAAGCUGGAGUACUGGAGAGGCAAGCGGAAUUCCUAGUGUAGCGGUGAAAUGCGUAGAUAUUAGGAGGAACACCAGUGGCGAAGGCGGCUUGCUGGACAGAGACUGACGUUGAGGCUCGAAAGCGUGGGGAGCAAACAGGAUUAGAUACCCUGGUAGUCCACGCGGUAAACGAUGAAUGCUAGGUGUUGGCGGGCAAAG
rnacentral:rRNA from 1 species